CUUUUUUCUUUUCACUGGUCGGAUUUAAAGCUUUUCGAAAGUGGAAGAGUCUCGGAUUUCUGUGAGACGUUUAACCGAAGAACUACAAAGAAAAAUAAUAUGGAUGAUGGGA
ensembl:ncRNA CD4.15 ncRNA